UUGCAGCUGCCCCCUCUCCAUUCUCAAGUUUUUUUUGCAGCAGCCAUCUCCUCAACCCUAGCCGCCACCCCCCAUCUCCUCUUCUCCAAGUGUCGUUCUUCCUCGUCGGAUCUUCUUCGUGUGGGUGCAAGUUUCAAUUGGAGAAUUGGUGGGAGUAAGGAAGGAAGGAGGAAAAAGGUGGAACUCAUGGUGAUCUUGAAGUUAUCUAUAUUUUUGUGCUAAAAUUCAAUUGAUUAUAUGUUUAUCUAUGCGAAUCGGUAGAGGUGCUGUCCAGAAUUUUUGUGGGAGGGCGAACAGCAGUAGUCCUAGGGAUUUCUGGGAAUUUUUCGUGGGCAAUUAGUGGGGAUCAGUGGGAGAAUCAUGUAGAGCUUUGUCAUACCUUUCCAACGAGUACUUAUGCGCUCGAUUCGGAGUUAUAAUUUAGGAGAUAUCGUUGUUUGAAUCCGGUUAUGUUGCUGUCCAAAAAAACAGAUUUUUCAGGUGGGUGAACAGCAGUAGUAUUAGCAGUUUCUGGGAAUUUUUCGUGGGUAAUUAGUGUUAACCAGUAUGAUAAUCAUGUAGGGCUUUGUCUUAUCUUUCCAAUGAGUACUUAUGCGCUUGAUUUGGAAUUAUAUUUUAAAAGAUAUCGCUGUUUGAAUCCGGGUAUGUCGCUGUCCAAAAGACAAAAAAACAGAUUACAUGGUUCAUCUUGUGGACUGUUUUGGGCUAAUUAGUUUUUGGAAUUUAAUUAACAAUUGUAUACAAAACUUAUGGGGAAUUUUAUGUAGAUGCCUCUGGAGUUUUUGUUUGUUACCACUGCUGUCAUAAUUUUAAAGUUAUAAAAUUAUUAAGCAGCGCCGCUGCAGUUUGGUGGGUGUGGAGAGAGAUAUAACCCGCGGCGGGGUUUGAGUUUGUGCAUAGGUGCGGCGUCGUUUAUGAGCCUGAUUAUGUGAAAUUGGUGCACUAAGUUGUGUGUCAAAAACAGGUGGUGGACUUCUGGAUCGUACUUAGGGAUUUGCCCAAACUUCCGGUAAAGGCAAAUAAAUACAGUGGUGGUUGCUACCGUUUGGUUUGCAUCCUAUUCCCUAUCAUUGAGUAUGCAUAAGUUUUAAUUAUGUUAAUCAUUGAAUUCUAUGAUGAAGUUUAUUUGUCUGGAGGUAUUAAUUCUCAAUUGUCUAAUAUUGUGGAUGAUCAUAAUUUGGUAAUGAUAUAUGUGGUUGAUUCCCAUCUUGGAUGAAGUUCAAGUAUCUUUUUGAAUCACGUUAUAGGAAGUGUUGUACGCAUGACAUGCACAUCGCAUCAUCCAUCUUGCAUUUUGAAGUUAUGUCGUGAUCUUAUGGUCCGACCGUACCAGUACACUUUUAGCAUCGUACGUUGCCCGAGGAGGGGUACGAUGCGGCUUCAUAUCCUUAGAGGUAUGAAGGCAGAAGUCAUCCUUGCAUUUGCAGACAUUUGCACUCAUGAGGUAUAUAUGAAGUGUGACAUUACUAUGUUACUAUUGUGGUUUCUACCUGCGAGGUGUGGUAACUAGGUGUGUUGUACAUUGUAUUCGUGCUGCACCUACGUAAUAAGGAGGUUGUAAAAUCAAAUGGUGGUAAAACAAUGUUCUUAUGUGGUUAAACAGUUUGUUAUUAUUUUGCUUGCUGAGAUGUGUCAUCUCACUCUUGCAUUACUCAAUGCAGGUACUUGAUACAUGUUGGGAAUGCGGGGAGUAGCAGCACGUCC
rnacentral:lncRNA from 1 species